CAAAAACAUCGCCUGCUACCUCUCUAGCAGGUAGAUUCUGCCCAAUGGAACCUAAAUGGCCGCAGUACCCUGACUGUGCUAAGGUAGCAUAAUAAUUUGUCUCUUAAUUGGAGGCUAGCAUGAAUGAACUGACGAAGAAAAGACUGUCUCAGGAGGGGAGGGGGAAAUUUAUAUCUAGGUAAAAAAUCCUAGGAGUUGUAGAGGGACGAUAAGACCCUAAAAGCUUUACCCUUUAAGCCUAAGCUUAUUAAAUUCUAUUAGGCCUAUAGGGUUUUCACUGGGGCGGUGACUCUAUAAAACUAGAGCAACUCAAACACCUUGAGUGAAUCCAAUAACCUUAACUAAGAUACUAAAGUAAGUUACUUUAGGGAUAACAGCGCAAUUCUCUGUGAGAGCCCUUAUCGACCAGGGGAGAUUACGACCUCGAUGUUGAAUUGAAGACUUAACCAGAGCAGCAUUUGGUAGAAAGGAGACUGUUCGUCUCUUAAACCUUCACGUGAUCUGAGUUCAGACCGGA
rnacentral:rRNA from 1 species